rnacentral:rRNA from 1 species
CAAUAGCGUAUAUUCAAGUUGUUGCAGUUAAAAGCUCGUAGUUGAAUUUUGGCGCUGGUUGUGUGGUUUGGACUCACGUUCAACACUUCAGGACUGGGGCGUUUCCUUCUAGGGAACUAGUGUGCCAUUAAUUUGGUGGGCUAGGGAUCUAGGACUGUUACUUUGAAAAAUUAGAGUGUUUAAAACAGGCUUAUGCUUGAAUACAUUAGCAUGGAAUAACGGAAUAGGACUUUGUCUUAUUUUGUUGGUUUAGGAGACAAAGUAAUGAUUAAUAGGGGACGGUUGGGGCAGUUAUGUAUUCAACAGUCAGAGGUGAAAUUCUUGGAUUUGUUGAAGACUAACUUCUGCGAAAGCAUUUGUCAUGCACGCUUUCAUUAAUCAGGAACGAAAGUUAGGGGAUCGAAGAUGAUCAGAU